AAUGAACGCUGGCGGCAUGCCUAACACAUGCAAGUCGAACGAGACCUUCGGGUCUAGUGGCGCACGGGUGCGUAACGCGUGGGAAUCUGCCCUUGGGUUCGGAAUAACAGUGAGAAAUUACUGCUAAUACCGAAUGAUGACGUAAGUCCAAAGAUUUAUCGCCCAGGGAUGAGCCCGCGUAGGAUUAGCUAGUUGGUGAGGUAAAAGCUCACCAAGGCGACGAUCCUUAGCUGGUCUGAGAGGAUGAUCAGCCACACUGGGACUGAGACACGGCCCAGACUCCUACGGGAGGCAGCAGUGGGGAAUAUUGGACAAUGGGCGAAAGCCUGAUCCAGCAAUGCCGCGUGAGUGAUGAAGGCCUUAGGGUUGUAAAGCUCUUUUACCCGGGAUGAUAAUGACAGUACCGGGAGAAUAAG
rnacentral:rRNA from 1 species